rnacentral:ncRNA from 1 species
CAAGGGGAUUCCGAAAACCUUUGAAAGAGUAGGAA